GGAAGGAUCAUUCACACAUUUACAGGAGAAAGUCCCUGACUUUCUGCUGGCCCACGUACUCCAGAUGAAAACAAAGAUACUCCUAUUCUCCGAUUUUUAUGUAAAUUACAGUUUUGACAGAGGAUACAUUGACUUCUGGAACGAUGAAGAACGUAGCAAAGUGCGAUAAGUAGUGCGAAUUGCAGAAUUCAGUGAAUCAUCAAAUUUUCGAACGCAGUAGGCAAUUAUUGGUUACUCCAAUGAUUGUGCAUUCUUGACUCUAACACCAAACUUUUGACAUGUUCUCAAUCUCUGGUGUUCCUCUUCUGCUGUGGACCAAGUAUUAGCUCUCACACUGCUGCAUUAAACUAUCUGGGUAGAUUUCUGAAGGCUUUUCUACAACUUCUAGCUUACGAGUCAAGCAAGGCACGACAACCCCCUGGAUUUAAGCAUAUAACUAAGGGGAGGAAAAGAAACCAAAUCGGAUUUCCUGAGUAACUGCGAGUGAAUAGGGAAAAGUUCAAUCUUGUAAUCACAACGCUCUCUGAGUUGUGAGAUGUAGUGUAUGGAAAUUUGUUCAGAGUGUGGCACUGGUCUUCGUUCACUGAGAAGUGAUGCAGCGACAGGUGACAGCCCUAUCUUUGGCCUGAAGUCCGCCUCGUACGAACGGUUUUCUGAGAGUCGGACUGCUUGGGAGUGCAGUCUUAAUGGGAGCUAAAGUCCUUCCAAAACUAAAAAUGUCUGGAAGAUCGAUAGAACACAAGUACCAUGAGGGAAAUGUGAAAAGAACUUUGAAAAGAGAGUUAAAAGUAUUUGAAACUGUCAGAGACCAAGCGAUCAGUUUUGUUGGAUGUUUACUUCUUUUUUCCUUUUACAUGGCGUUCGUUGAGAUUCAUUUGCGUGAGUUUCACUUGCUUGCUUGGUAAGGUGGGAAGAAGUGCGGUAUGGAAAGCUGGUUGAGUUCAUUGGAUCUCCACAGUAGAAAGGUAGUAUGUGAUUGUUUCAUGAUCUUUGAAUAUCUUUUGAACGUGCAAUGUUCGUCAAUCAUGUCUUUCUAUACAAACGGAACUGAUCGGCUCGUCUUGAAACACGAACCAAGGAGUGUAACGCUUGUGCAAGUGUUUGACUACUAACAGUCUAAAACGCGAAACGAAAGUGUAGAUAAAGACUUUCUUUAUUCAGAUACAUCUCUGCUCUGCAGGUUCUGUAUCGCCCGAUAUCUUCCUUUGUGAGAAACUCGAGGAAUAGCACAAUCGAUACGACCCGAAAGAUGGUGAGCUAUACCCGCACAGGGUGAAGCCAGGGGAAACUCUGGUGAAGGUCCGUAGCGGUACUGACGUGCAAAUCGUUCGUCUGAUGUGGGUAUAGGGGCGAAAGACUUAUCGAACCAUCUAGUAGCUGGUUUCCUC
rnacentral:misc_RNA from 1 species